UGCAGUCGAACGAUGACCCUCCGCUUGCGGGGGUGAUUAGUGGCGAACGGGUGAGUAACACGUGAGUAACCUGCCCUUGACUCUGGGAUAAGCCUGGGAAACCGGGUCUAAUACCGGAUAUGUACCCCCUGCCGCAUGGUGGGGGGUGGAAAGCCUUGUGCGGUUUUGGAUGGACUCGCGGCCUAUCAGCUUGUUGGUGGGGUAAUGGCCCACCAAGGCGACGACGGGUAGCCGGCCUGAGAGGGUGACCGGCCACACUGGGACUGAGACACGGCCCAGACUCCUACGGGAGGCAGCAGUGGGGAAUAUUGCACAAUGGGCGCAAGCCUGAUGCAGCGACGCCGCGUGAGGGAUGACGGCCUUCGGGUUGUAAACCUCUUUCAGUAGGGAAGAAGCGAAAGUGACGGUACCUGCAGAAGAAGCGCCGGCUAACUACGUGCCAGCAGCCGCGGUAAUACGUAGGGCGCAAGCGUUAUCCGGAAUUAUUGGGCGUAAAGAGCUCGUAGGCGGUUUGUCGCGUCUGCCGUGAAAGUCCGGGGCUCAACCCCGGAUCUGCGGUGGGUACGGGCAGACUAGAGUGAUGUAGGGGAGACUGGAAUUCCUGGUGUAGCGGUGAAAUGCGCAGAUAUCAGGAGGAACACCGAUGGCGAAGGCAGGUCUCUGGGCAUUAACUGACGCUGAGGAGCGAAAGCAUGGGGAGCGAACAGGAUUAGAUACCCUGGUAGUCCAUGCCGUAAACGUUGGGCACUAGGUGUGGGGGACAUUCCACGUUUUCCGCGCCGUAGCUAACGCAUUAAGUGCCCCGCCUGGGGAGUACGGCCGCAAGCUAAAACUCAAGGAAUUGACGG
rnacentral:rRNA from 1 species